rnacentral:rRNA from 1 species
CACGUAGGAGGCAAGCGUUAUCCGGAUUUACUGGGCGUAAAGCGCGUGCAGGCGGUUUGGUAAGUUGGAUGUGAAAGCUCCCGGCUCAACUGGGAGAGGUCGUUCAAAACUGCCAGACUAGAGGACGGUAGAGGAAGGUAGAAUUCCCGGUGUAGUGGUGAAAUGCGUAGAUAUCGGGAGGAAUACCAGUGGCGAAGGCGGCCUUCUGGGCCGUUCCUGACGCUAAGACGCGAAGCAUGGGUAGCAAACGGGAUUAGAUACCCCUGUA